rnacentral:rRNA from 1 species
UACGUAGGGGGCAAGCGUUGUCCGGAAUCAUUGGGCGUAAAGAGCGUGUAGGCGGCCCGAUAAGUCCGCUGUGAAAGUCCAGGGCUCAACCCUGGGAUGCCGGUGGAUACUGUCGGGCUCGAGUCCGGAAGAGGAGUGUGGAAUUCCUGGUGUAGCGGUGAAACGCGCAGAUAUCAGGAGGAACACCAAUGGCGAAGGCAGCACUCUGGGACGUGACUGACGCUGAGGCGCGAAAGCGUGGGGAGCAAACAGG